AUCAGUCAUAUGAAUCAAUCGAUCGAUCUGAGUCCGAUGUGAAAUCCCAAUGAAAAACUCUUUUUCUAUUAUUUCACUCUGUCAUGGCCAUGGGCUUAAGGACUCGAUCUUUCGAUCAUCAUAGGACUACUCCUCUCAUCUAUCGAGGUUGAUAGAUCCCAUCUUGGUGUGACUUAGUUCCUACAAUGAAUAUGCUACAGCCAACAUACACCUCAGGAUUCUGAAUGGCUAGGAGAUCGAGUUAUGGUGUAGUCAAACUAUAACACACUCAAGGUGAACUGUCGAUGCAUCUCAAGUCAAAGAACUAGACAUAC
rnacentral:lncRNA from 1 species